rnacentral:rRNA from 1 species
AGCGAACGCUGGCGGCAGGCCUAACACAUGCAAGUCGAACGGAUCCUUCGGGAUUAGUGGCGGACGGGUGAGUAACACGUGGGAACGUGCCCUUUGGUUCGGAACAACUCAGGGAAACUUGAGCUAAUACCGGAUGUGCCCUUCGGGGAAAGAUUAUCGCCAUUGGAGCGGCCCGCGUCUGAUUAGCUAGUUGGUGAGGUAAAGGCUCACCAAGGCGACGAUCAGUAGCUGGUCUGAGAGGAUGAUCAGCCACAUUGGGACUGAGACACGGCCCAAACUCCUACGGGAGGCAGCAGUGGGGAAUCUUGCGCAAUGGGCGAAAGCCUGACGCAGCCAUGCCGCGUGAAUGAUGAAGGUCUUAGGAUUGUAAAAUUCUUUCACCGGGGACGAUAAUGACGGUACCCGGAGAAGAAGCCCCGGCUAACUUCGUGCCAGCAGCCGCGGUAAU